rnacentral:rRNA from 1 species
GACGAACGCUGGCGGCGUGCUUAACACAUGCAAGUCGAACGGAAAGGCCUGCUUUCCCUUGUGGAUUGCGGGUACUCGAGUGGCGAACGGGUGAGUAACACGUGAGUGAUCUGCCCCCAACUUGGGUAUAAGCCUGGGAAACUGGGUCUAAUUCCCGAUAGGACUGCAGGGUGGUGCCUGUGGUGGAAAACGAUUUUCUAGUGGUUGGGGAUGAGCUCGCGGCCUAUCAGCUUGUUGGUGGGGUAAUGGCCUACCAAGGCGGCGACGGGUAGCCGGCCUGGGAGGGUGGACGGCGACAUUGGGACUGGGAUACGGCCCAGACUCCUACGGGAGGCAGCAGUGGGGAAUAUGGCACAAUGGGCGGAAGCCUGAUGCAGCGACGCCGCGUGGGGGAUGACGGCCUUCGGGUUGUAAACUCCUUUCGACCGCGAGGAAGCCACCUGGUUGGAAGGGUGGUGACGGUAGUGGGAGAAGAAGCACCGGCUAACUACGUG